rnacentral:lncRNA from 1 species
AUGCGACUGAGUCUCAAAGCAUUUGCUUUCAGCCGCAGAGAGAAGAAGCUGCCCAAGAAUGGAAAGGAAGAAAUAUAUCACAUCAUCUGUCUGUCCACAGGCUUUCCUUUGGGCUUAUGGAGAUUUCCUAGUGGUAAUUAUUUCCCAUUGACUCAGACCAAAGGACGGUGUGGACACCUCACAAACAGUAAGUUUAUGCCUUGUUUUUGUUAUUUAUAUUUCAUGAUUGACCUGGAGAAGAUUAAAAUGUUUGAUUAAUUGCAGAUUCUAUAUUGUAAGUAUUAAUGCUGUAUAAC